GCCGCUCCGCUAGCGGCUCCGGUGGGGCUCCGGGGCACCCUGGCACCCCCCCGCCGCCCCACCGGGGCGCUCAGCCUGCCCCUCGCCCUGGCAGGGGCUGCACCUUGCUCGGGGGGGGUCCCCGCUCCUCGCCCAGCUCCCGCCACCCCCGGCCCCGCGCGCACUCACGAGCAUCUCCCGGCGCCUCCGGGCCGUCUCGUGCCGCCACAUCUUGAGGCAGACAAGGCUGGCGGCCAGGUAGAGCAGCGCGGUGAUGAAGAGGAAGACGAGGGCGGCCGCCUGGCCCCCGGCCACGCGGCAGAAGACGCCGAGGAGGGGGCCGCCGGCGAGGGGGGAGUAGCACAGCCCCCCGAGGGUGACGGUGUUGACGUAUGCCGCCGCCGCCGCCAGGUACAGCAGGAACAGGAGCGCGUUGAGGGCCGCCUCCGUGGGCGGCCACCAGCCCGCAUCCAGGAGGAUGCUCCGGUAGUAGGUGGUGGCCCCGAGCCCCAGCAGGAUGGCGCUGAGCAGCCAGGCCAGGCUGGCCACCACCAGCACGAAGGGGGUCAGCGGGCCGGCGUAGCGGGUCCCGUCGGCCAGCAGCUCGCUGCCGUACCACCGGUAGUCCCGCUGCACGUAGGCGCACACGCAGGCGAAGACCAUCCCUCCGAAGAGCAGCUGCAGCCCCCCCAGCACCCGCAGCAGCCCCGGCCAGGACUUCAUGUAGGCGUACUUGAGGCCGUACGCCUCCAGCCRGCCCGCGGCGUCGGGGAGGGCAGCCGGGCGGCCGCGGGGCACCGACGGCUCCAGCCCCGUCUCCAGCCCCUGCUCUGUCUCCAUUCCCUGCUCGCCUGCGGGGCCGGAGCCGGAAGCGCCCUGCGGGUGGCCGGAGCUGCUGUGCCGGUCUGGCCCGCGGUGCUCCAGCGAGGCACGUUGGGGUGGGCAGCGCGGCACGGCCCCCCCCCCCCAGCGGCGCAGCCAACUCUUCCACGCGGGGCAAUCGGAGCGGCUUUCGGUAGGGCGGGAGGUGGCCGAGGGCCAGGAGCUCAGCGCCCUGGCGAG
rnacentral:lncRNA from 1 species